UCGAGAAUCUUCGGCAAUGGGCGCAAGCCUGACCGAGCAAUGCCGCGUGCGGGAUGCAGGCCUUCGGGUUGUAAACCGCUGUCGAGGGGGAUUAAGAGAAAUUUGAAUGAUCCCUGGAGGAAGGGUCGGCUAAUCUCGUGCCAGCAGCCGCGGUAAUACGAGAGACCCGAACGUUAUUCGGAAUUACUGGGCUUACAGAGUUCGUAGGCGGCUCAGAAAGUUGGGUGUGAAAUCCCUCGGCUCAACCGAGGAAUUGCGCUCAAAACUACUGAGCUUGAGGGGUAUAGAGGUAAGCGGAACUGAUGGUGGAGCGGUGAAAUGCGUUGAUAUCAUCAGGAACACCGGUGGCGAAGGCGGCUUACUGGGUACCUCCUGACGCUGAGGAACGAAAGCUAGGGGAGCGAACGGG
rnacentral:rRNA from 1 species